UACGAAGGGGGCUAGCGUUGCUCGAAAUCACUGGGCGUAAAGGGUGCGUAGGCGGGUCUUUAAGUCAGGGGGGAAAUCCUGGAGCUCAACUCCAGAACUGCCUUUGAUACUGAAGAUCUUGAGUUCGGGAGAGGUGAGUGGAACUGCGAGUGUAGAGGUGAAAUUCGUAGAUAUUCGCAAGAACACCAGUGGCGAAGGCGGCUCACUGGCCCGAUACUGACGCUGAGGCACGAAAGCGUGGGGAGCAAACAGG
rnacentral:rRNA from 1 species